GUGCUCACUUCGGCAGCACAUACGCUAAAAUUGGAACAUUACAGAGAUUAGCAUAGCCCUUGUGCAAGGAAGACACGCAAAUUCAUGAAGCAUUCCAAAAAAAA